UUGACGGGGGCCCGCACAAGCGGUGGAGCAUGUGGUUUAAUUCGACGCUACGCGAAGAACCUUACCUGGGCUUGACUUGCUGGUGGUAGGAGCCCGAAAGGGUAACGACCCGGAGCAAUCCGGGAGCCAGCAGAGGUGCUGCAUGGCUGUCGUCAGCUCGUGUCGUGAGAUGUUGGGUUAAGUCCCGCAACGAGCGCAACCCUUGCCCUUAGUUGCCAGCGGGUAAUGCCGGGCACUCUAAGGGGACUGCCUGGGAUAACCAGGAGGAAGGCGGGGAUGACGUCAAGUCAGCAUGGCCUUUAUGUCCAGGGCUACACACGUGCUACAAUGGGCGGUACAAAGGGAGGCAAAGCCGCGAGGUAGAGCUAAUCCCCAAAGCCGUCCUCAGUUCGGAUUGCAGGCUGCAACUCGCCUGCAUGAAGUCGGAAUCGCUAGUAAUCGCGGAUCAGCUACGCCGCGGUGGAUACGUUCUCGGGCCUUGUACACACCGCCCGUCACAUCACGAAAGCUGGUCUCGCCCGAAGUCGCUGAGCUAACCCGCAAGGGAGGCAGGCGCCGAAGGCGAGGUCGGUGAUUGGGGUG
rnacentral:rRNA from 1 species